UACGGAGGGUGCGAGCGUUGUCCGGAAUCAUUGGGCGUAAAGGGCGCGUAGGUGGCGGGACAAGCGUGCGGUGAAAGCUCGGGGCUCAACCCCGAGUCGGCCGUGCGAACUGUUUUGCUGGAGCACUGUAGAGGCAGGCGGGAAUUCCGGGUGUAGCGGUGGAAUGCGUAGAGAUCCGGAAGAACACCGGUGGCGAAGGCGGCCUGCUGGGCAGUGCUGACACUGAGGCGCGACACGUGGGGGAGCAAACAGG
rnacentral:rRNA from 1 species